rnacentral:rRNA from 1 species
UACAGAGGGUGCAAACGUUGCUCGGAAUCAUUGGGCGUAAAGCGCACGUAGGCGGUCUGAUAAGUCGGAUGUGAAAGCCCUGGGCUCAACCCAGGAAGUGCAUUCGAAACUGCCAGACUUGAAUAUGGAAGAGGGUCGCGGAAUUCCCGGUGUAGAGGUGAAAUGCGUAGAUAUCUGGAGGAACACCGGUGGCGAAGGCGGCAUCCUGGACCGACACUGACGCUGAGGAGCGAAAGCCAGGGGAGCAAACGGG